rnacentral:rRNA from 1 species
CAGUCAUGCCGGUGAGAAUCAACUUUGGGGAAGGGGGAUUUUUUUGAACCUAACCUUGAAGUGCACUUCUUCGCUUGGCAGGUUACCGCCUAUUUUGAACGUCAUAAAAUGAUUGGGGGAAGGUAGCUCUUUCGGGAGUGUUAUAGCCCUUAAUUAAUGUGAUAUUUGGGAUCGAGGAUUGCAACGGAUACCUUUUUUUAGGCUAGCCGCCUGGCCUCUGAUUCGAUGUUGGGUUAUAGACAGCACGCUGACUAUGAUCUGAUUAUUGGUCAAAAGGUUAAAGCGAGCAUAAA